GACGAACGCUGGCGGCGUGCUUAACACAUGCAAGUCGAACGGAAAGGCCCUGCUGUUGUGGGGGGCUCGAGUGGCGAACGGGUGAGUAACACGCGAGUAACCUGCCCUUGACUUUGGGAUAACUUCAGGAAACUGGGGCUAAUACCGGAUAGGAGCUCCUGCUGCAUGGUGGGGGUGGGAAAGUUUCGGCGGGUGGGGAUGGACUCGCGGCUUAUCAGCUUGUUGGUGGGGUAGUGGCUUACCAAGGCAUUGACUGGUAGCUGGCCUGAGGGGGUGACCGGCCACAUUGGGACUGGAAUACGACCCAGACUCCUACGGGAGGCAGCAGUGGGGAAUAUUGCACAAUGGGAGGAAGCCUGAUGCAGCAACGCCGCGUGCGGGAUGACGGCCUUCGGGUUGUAAACCGCUUUCGCCUGUGACGAAGCGUGAGUGACGGUAAUGGGUAAAGAAGCACCGGCUAACUACGUG
rnacentral:rRNA from 1 species